GGCUUAGAGUUUGAUCAUGGCUCAGGAUAAACGCUGGCGGCGCACAUAAGACAUGCAAGUCGAACGGACUUAACCAUUAGUUUACUAUUGGAGCGGUUAGUGGCGGACUGGUGAGUAACACGUAAGCAACCUGCCUAUCAGAGGGGAACAACAGUUAGAAAUGACUGCUAAUACCGCAUAUGCCUAAGUAUCGCAUGAUACAAUAGGGAAAGGAGAAAUCCGCUGAUAGAUGGGCUUGCGUCUGAUUAGAUAGUUGGUGUGGUAACGGCACACCAAGUCGACGAUCAGUAGCCGGACUGAGAGGUUGAACGGCCACAUUGGGACUGAGAUACGGCCCAGACUCCUACGGGAGGCAGCAGUCGGGAAUAUUGCGCAAUGGAGGAAACUCUGACGCAGUGACGCCGCGUGCAGGAAGAAGGUUUUCGGAUUGUAAACUGCUUUAGACAGGGAAGAUAAUGACAGUACCUGUAGAAUAAGCUCCGGCUAACUACGUGCCAGCAGCCGCGGUAAUACGUAGGGAGCAAGCGUUAUCCGGAUUUAUUGGGUGUAAAGGGUGCGUAGACGGGAGAACAAGUUGGUUGUGAAAUCCCUCGGCUUAACUGAGGAACUGCAACCAAAACUAUUUUUCUUGAGUGCUGGAGAGGAAAGUG
rnacentral:rRNA from 1 species